CAAGUACUCCCUCCGUCCGGAAUUACUUGUCAUCAAAAUGGAUGUGUCUAGAACUAAAAUAUAUCUAGAUACAUCCAUUUCAAUGACAAGUAUUUUCAGACGGAGGGAGUACAAG
rnacentral:pre_miRNA from 1 species